UACAGAGGUCUCAAGCGUUGUUCGGAUUCAUUGGGCGUAAAGGGUGCGUAGGCGGCGCGGUAAGUCGGGUGUGAAAUCUCGGGGCUUAACUCCGAAACUGCAUUCGAUACUGCCGUGCUUGAGGACUGGAGAGGAGACUGGAAUUUACGGUGUAGCGGUGAAAUGCGUAGAUAUCGUAAGGAAGACCAGUGGCGAAGGCGGGUCUCGUGGGACGGUGACUGACGCUGAGACGCGAAAGCGUGGGGAGCAAACAGG
rnacentral:rRNA from 1 species